CUUCCCCGCCAGGACUCGAACCUGGAAUCUUCUGGUUCGUAGCCAGACGCCGUGACCAUUGGGCCACGAGGAA
rnacentral:tRNA from 1 species